GUGAAUCAAAUCAUUGUUCAACAAAAUCUUUGAAAGAUUUUGAAAAUGAGAGAAAAGAACAUGUUGUAGAAGAAUUAUGCGAUGAAUUUGCUAAAGCGGUUGAAAAUUAUGAAGAUAAGGAGAUGAGUGAACAAAGUAAAUGUUGAGAUUGCAAAACUAUUGUUUGUUCCAUCGCUAGAGUUGUACCUUGUGGAAAUGAUCUCGGAAAAGUAGUCAUUAGGAUUGAUAAUGAAUAUUGCGACACUUAUUUGGAAAAUAAGGUGCCUAUAGAAUUGGUGAAUGAAAUGGUAACAAUCAAAAGCAUCAUCUG
rnacentral:lncRNA from 1 species